rnacentral:rRNA from 1 species
AUUGAACGCUGGCGGCAUGCCUUACACAUGCAAGUCGAACGGUAACAGGUCUUCGGAUGCUGACGAGUGGCGAACGGGUGAGUAAUACAUCGGAACGUGCCUAGUAGUGGGGGAUAACUACUCGAAAGAGUGGCUAAUACCGCAUGAGAUCAACGGAUGACAGCAGGGGAUCGCAAGACCGUGUGUUACUAGAGCGGCCGAUGGCAGAUUAGGUAGUUGGUGGGAUAAAAGCUUACCAAGCCGACGAUCUGUAGCUGGUCUGAGAGGACGAUCAGCCACACUGGGACUGAGACACGGCCCAGACUCCUACGGGAGGCAGCAGUGGGGAAUUUUGGACAAUGGGCGAAAGCCUGAUCCAGCAAUGCCGCGUGCAGGAUGAAGGCCUUCGGGUUGUAAACUGCUUUUGUACGGAACGAAAAGCCCCGGGUUAAUACCCUGGGGUCAUGACGGUACCGUAAGAAUAAGCACCGGCUAACUACGUGCCAGCAGCCGCCGUAA